rnacentral:rRNA from 1 species
UAGGGAAUCUUCGGCAAUGGACGAAAGUCUGACCGAGCAACGCCGCGUGAGUGAAGAAGGUUUUCGGAUCGUAAAGCUCUGUUGUAAGAGAAGAACGAGUGUGAGAGUGGAAAGUUCACACUGUGACGGUAUCUUACCAGAAAGGGACGGCUAACUACGUGCCAGCAGCCGCGGUAAUACGUAGGUCCCAAGCGUUGUCCGGGUUUAUUGGGCGUAAAGCGAGCGCAGGCGGUUAGAUAAGUCUGAAGUUAAAGGCUGUGGCUUAACCAUAGUACGCUUUGGAAACUGUUUAACUUGAGUGCAAGAGGGGAGAGUGGAAUUCCAUGUGUAGCGGUGAAAUGCGUAGAUAUAUGGAGGAACACCGGUGGCGAAAGCGGCUCUCUGGCUUGUAACUGACGCUGAGGCUCGAAAGCGUGGGGAGCAAACAGGAUUAGAUACCCUGGUAGUCCACGCCGUAAACGAUGAGUGCUAGGUGUUAGACCCUUUCCGGGGUUUAGUGCCGUAGCUAACGCAUUAAGCACUCCGCCUGGGGAGUACGACCGCAAGGUUG